GUAGGUAGAGGUGCGGCUUUCAUGAGUACGCCGGAGACAAGAGGAAAUGCUCCGUUUGAAAGGGCAAGCCGCCGAAGUAUUACGUUUUUCCUCAGGAACGUAUUACUGGGCCGACGGGAAAUACCCUUCGGACUGUCACAUAUUUUGUGGAGCGCUAUCUU
rnacentral:ncRNA from 1 species